rnacentral:lncRNA from 1 species
UAAAUGACUCUGUGUUCCUCCUCCCUGUUUCCAUUUCCAGACUUCCCAAAGUUCUUCAAAAAGAAUUCUGCAGCCAUUCAGAAGACAGAAGGAGGAAAACGGUCAUUACGAAAGAGAGCAGAGAGAGUCAAGGCCAGUCCAAGGGGAGAAGCCAGGCUACGGGCCAUCGUCUGGACUUGUCCCUGGGGAGGAAAAACGAUGAGCAGCCGCAGCAGCUGGGGGUGGGUGGGUAAAGAACAAGCAGAUUUCUCUGUUGUCCCCCAUCAGCCUCCUGCUGCAGGGGCUCUGCAGGCCAGGCAGGAUGGGUAGCAGCAGUGUUCUGAUUCUCCAUUCCUUUCCCACCACAACUGUGGCAAUGGGAUUUCCAGCCCCUCCACCCUCCUCUAAGGGUCACUGUUCUUCCUGCCCAUUACUAUGAGGCCUGGCUACCUGGGCUUGGACCAUGUGCCUUCAGCAGAUACGUAAACAAAAGUUUCACAGGGUGCAGUUGAAUCUUGCCUCUUGCGUUUCCACCACGGCUAUUACAACAUGGCCGGGACAGCCUGCUGCUGGGGCAGCCAGGACGAGAGCCAGAGGGAGCAGGCAGAGCCCACCCAGGACUUAGGGCCAAGCUGCAGCCAAGUUCAGGCAAACAAAAGUCAACGGAUGACUGCAAGCUGCUGGGCUUCAGGACGGUUUCUUACACACCACUGUGGUUGGAACAAGCUGACUGAUACAGAAGGGGAAACAGAAAUUCCCCUGGCACAGAUCCUGGUAGCAGCCAGGAACAGUCGACUAAGAACUCUGACAUUAGCAAAGUUAGAAAAAGAUUUUUUUCUUCUUUUUUUAGAAGCAGCAUCUGAUCACGUGGCGGAGUCACUUGUGAAACAAGCUGAAGGAGACUUAUUAACCAGAAAACCCAGGAGCCGACUUCCUCGUUGACUCCUCAGAUCCAGGGUCGUGCUUCUUUCACAGCCAGCAGCCCUGCUCUGCGUUUGACCCCGGCUGGACCGAGUUAUUCUGGAUCUCGUGACUCUGGGGCUUAAAAUAGUCUCUGCUGAGCCAUCUGCCUGGGGACCCAUCUCACUCCUGAGAGGUGUAGCAGCUGGGGCAGAGCUGAGCGCGGCUCCUGUUAAGGAAGUGAACAAUCUCUGGGCUUCGCUCCAUCCUGUGAGUGCGCCCAGGGGAGAAAAUAAAACAGAGGGCAUUUGGCUGCCAGAGAAGAGUAAGAGCUUAAGGAGAGAACCCGGCGGGGGGGA